UACAGAGGGUGCGAGCGUUAAUCGGAAUUACUGGGCGUAAAGCGUGCGUAGACGGCUAUCUAAGUCGGAUGUGAAAGCCCUGGGCUCAACCUAGGAAGUGCAUUCGAAACUUCCAAGCUGGAGUGCUGGAGAGGAAGGCGGAAUUCUCGGUGUAGAGGUGAAAUUCGUAGAUAUCGAGAGGAACACCGGUGGCGAAGGCGGCCUUCUUGACAGUUACUGACGCUGAGACGCGAAAGCGUGGGGAGCAAACAGG
rnacentral:rRNA from 1 species